AGCAGCCGCGGUAAUUCCAGUUCCAAUAGCGUAUAUUAAAGUUGUUCAGUUAAAAAGUUGGUAGUUGAAUUUGGGGAUCAAUGUUUCGGUAGUCCAAUAGUACGUACUGAUUUUAUUGAUUCCUCCUUUCUGAUGAACUAUGAUGUCAUUAAUUUGGUGUCAUAGGGAAUCAGGACUGUUACUUUGAAAAAAUUAGAGUGUUUAAAGCAGGCUCACGCUUGAAUACAUUAGCAUGGAAUAACGAAAUAGGACGUUUGAUUCUAUUUUGUUGGUUUCUAGGAUCGACGUAAUGAUUAAUAGGGAUAGUUGGGGGCAUUAGUAUUCAAUUGUCAGAGGUGAAAUUCUUGGAU
rnacentral:rRNA from 1 species